ensembl:lncRNA
GCCCCGCCCUCUGCAACCAAGAGCCAGCACUGCCAAAAAUAAAUAAAAUGAUCUUUAAAAAAUCAAGAUCGGUGGGUGAAUGGAAGGGUGGACAGAUGUGUAAGAAGUACCGAAUGAUGAUGGAUCGAAGACGCAAGCGCUGCUUGCUGUGCAGGAAAGUCUGAGACAGAGCGCCCGGGGUUCACCGAGAACUCGAGGAGCCCCUGAGCCGACAGGACAUGGAAGUUGCCUGUACCGUCAAGAAGCCGACGACCGCAGCCUCUGAGGUCGAAGUCCACCCUGGGCAAGGCCAGCACCGACCGGAAGCCUAAGGCCCCUCCCUGAGGGGCAGGUGACAGGACACGGACCUGGUCAUCCUCUGGCCCUUGCUUCAGAUGCUCCUGGGGAAGUUACAGGAAUCGGCCGUGUGCGAAGGCGGAGGUCCCCGCCGG